rnacentral:rRNA from 1 species
UACGUAGGGGGCAAGCGUUGUCCGGAUUUAUUGGGCGUAAAGAGCGUGUAGGCGGCCAUGUAGGUCCGGUGUGAAAACUCGAGGCUUAACCUCGAGAUGUCAUCGGAAACCAUUUGGCUAGAGACCGGAAGAGGAGAGUGGAAUUCCUGGUGUAGCGGUGAAAUGCGCAGAUAUCAGGAAGAACACCCGUGGCGAAGGCGGCUCUCUGGGACGGUACUGACGCUGAGACGCGAAAGCGUGGGGAGCGAACAGG